AAUUUUCGAAAACAUAAGAGGAUUAGAGGGCACCUACAACCCUCAAAAGGGAGGUAUUGUGAGAAGUUGGCCAAAACAAGAGAAAAACAAAAAUGGCAACUUCACACAUUUCUUUGUUCUCCAAAGGCUCACCCUAACUCCUUUGCUUUGUUUCAAGAUUCACAUAGGUUGAUAUUUGAUCCGGGAGGACACAUCUUGACGAAGCAAGAGGCUGCUAUCCGAGAUCAAGAAUGCAAAUCUGAGGAUAGAUCUUCUCAAGAAGGAGGAGAUGAUGGACACCAUCCAGCCACAACCAUUCCCUUAGC
rnacentral:lncRNA from 1 species